CUCCAGGCUUCCUCCUGCAAUGCGUUAGAACUUUGCAUUUUCAUCUCGUUUCUACUGUGGUCUUGAAACAAUAGAGGAAAGUGUUUUCAAUUUCAGUCUACACAGAAGUAAGUGGAGGCAAGGCUACAUUUGCAAAGCAAUUGAAUCAGCCAGUGGAAGAAGCAGGACAAAAUGUCACAGGUUGAUAGACAGGAUGCCUUAUCUCUGAGUUCAGAGGACAGAUAAUCUGGAUCUGAAUGAAAAGUGUCACAAAAGUAGAACAGAAAAACCGGUAACAAUUACUCAUUCACAAUUUUGUUUCCCUUUUGAUGGAAAGACGGGAGGCUGGAAAGACAGCGGGCACAAAAACUGAUCUCUUAAGGUUUUCCUUGUGAAUGUGCUUUUAAUGUUCAUGGGCUUGUUGCAGUGCUGCCAACAGUAUUAAAAAUAACAGAGCAAGACUGACUUUGAUGACAGAAAAGCAACAUUUUCAUUGUAAAAGUAGAUUUCUGAUUCUGCAGUGAUCAGUUUAAGAAGAGGCAUGAAGAAGAUAAGCAUGACCUGCAUUAAAUUUUGGGAGCUGGUAAAAAGGAUUUCUGUUUCUGUUUGCA